GCUGUGCAGGCGAUGCAGUGCCAGGGCCAGGCAGACCCGGAAGGGGCGGCCGUAUUCUGCCCAUCGCUGAGACGGGGACGGGGGUAACACCGCCGCCGACCCCCCCAACACCAACACUGCCACCCCAGCCCAGCACUUGGCGCAGCGGGGAGCUCAGGUGAGCGCGGGGCGGCGGACGGACCACGGGUACCCACCAUGGUUUGGCACCA
rnacentral:lncRNA from 1 species